AUGAACGCUAGCGGGAGGCCUAACACAUGCAAGCCGAGCGGUAUUGUUUCUUCGGACAUGAGAGAGCGGCGUACGGGUGCGUAACACGUGUGCAACCUGCCUUUAUCUGGGGGAUAGCCUUUCGAAAGGAAGAUUAAUACUCCAUAAUAUAUUGAACGGCAUCGUUUAAUAUUGAAAGCUCCGGCGGAUAGAGAUGGGCACGCGCAAGAUUAGCUAGUUGGUGAGGUAACGGCUCACCAAGGCGAUGAUCUUUAGGGGGCCUGAGAGGGUGAUCCCCCACACUGGUACUGAGACACGGACCAGACUCCUACGGGAGGCAGCAGUGAGGAAUAUUGGUCAAUGGGUGCAAGCCUGAACCAGCCAUCCCGCGUGAAGGACGACUGCCCUAUGGGUUGUAAACUUCUUUUGUAUAGGGAUAAACCUACCCUCGAGAGGGUAGCUGAAGGUACUAUACGAAUAAGCACCGGCUAACUCCGUG
rnacentral:rRNA from 1 species